rnacentral:rRNA from 1 species
AUUGAACGCUGGCGGCAGGCCUAACACAUGCAAGUCGAGCGGUAGAGAGGUGCUUGCAUCUCUUGAGAGCGGCGGACGGGUGAGUAAUGCCUAGGAAUCUGCCUAGUGGUGGGGGAUAACGUUCGGAAACGGACGCUAAUACCGCAUACGUCCUACGGGAGAAAGCGGGGGGAUCUUCGGACCUCGCGCCAUUAGAUGAGCCUAGGUCGGAUUAGCUAGUUGGUGAGGUAAUGGCUCACCAAGGCGACGAUCCGUAACUGGUCUGAGAGGAUGAUCAGUCACACUGGAACUGAGACACGGUCCAGACUCCUACGGGAGGCAGCAGUGGGGAAUUUUGGACAAUGGCGCAAGCCUGAUCCAGCAAUGCCGCGUGCAGGAUGAA